rnacentral:rRNA from 1 species
UACGGAGGGAGCUAGCGUUGUUCGGAAUUACUGGGCGUAAAGCGCACGUAGGCGGCUAUUCAAGGCUGUGGUGAAAGUCCGGGGCUCAACCUCGGAUCGGCCGUGGCGACUCGUGGGCUGGAGCACUGUAGAGGCGGGUGGAAUUCCGGGUGUAGCGGUGGAAUGCGUAGAGAUCCGGAAGAACACCAGUGGCGAAGGCGGCCCGCUGGGCAGUGGCUGACGCUGAGGCGCGACAGCGUGGGGAGCAAACAGG